CUUCUUAUUCAUUACACUGAUUUAGGCAAAUAAAACUUUGAAAUAGUAGAUAUUGUGGUUCACUUAAUAAGCAAUGGAAGUUGGAAAUAUUUAACGGGCAAAAAUCGGAGUAAUAAAAAUAUCCGUCGUGUAGAUUACAGUUAAUCAUAACACAACGCCUGACAAUGUCUUACAGCACUUAUGGAUCUAAUUAUUCCACGUAUUCUAACGACUGCGGAAGCUUAAUAGCUAUCAUCAUUUUCGGAAGUGUGAUCUUAUUUCUUCUGGUCAUUAUACUGAUCUGUAUCUGCUGGAUAUGUUGUAGAAGAGAGCAUCGUCGAGACGGGGUUAUCGUUCCACCUAUAGAUCACAUGCAAACAGGUACAGUUCUAUACAUGAACAAUGACCAAGUACAGUUCAACCAAAGUCAACAUCGAAGUCAAAAUGUGCACCAAGCACAUAUCCAGCCCACGCUUACACCAUCACAUGGGCGUAACGUUCAACAGUGCACGGCUACCGCGCCAUCAUCUAGUCCAGCAGUUGUAUCAGAGUACAACAAUUUAGCGCCACAUACCACUCGUUUAACAGUUGAGUAGACAUCUUCAAAUGUAUGACGGACCAUGAAAGACUGGUUUAUCACCGUACAUGUUUUGACAUUUCUUUUCCAUUUUUCAUAUAUAUGCUCAACCUGAAUGUGUUUAGGAGAUAACAUUCAAAUUUAUAAUUAAUUCUUAUUCUGAAAAUGCUUCAAACUGGUUACAUAAUCAAUGAAUCAUAAUAAAGAUAUUCCAUAAUUCAUUCGAAGAAAUAAUCUCUGUUAUAUCAUUAGAUAGCUCAAAUAUUUACGAAGUCUCAGUAGCGUUGCUUUCAUCUUGAAAAAUAAAAUCUUGUAUGGAUCUAUUAACAGUGGGUUGCUUGCA